rnacentral:lncRNA from 1 species
ACAGUUCAUGAAGGCUCGUUCGUCAUUGGAUGGAUGGAAGCAGCACAUUAAUUCAAAGAACCAGAGACUGGAGAAUUGCUUUGCCAUCUUGGACAGCCUUACUGAAUCACUGAACCUACCCAAGAUCAAGAAUUCUGCAAAAGGGAAGGUUCUGAUGCACGCAAUGUUUGGAGUGAGGGUUGCAACUGUUUUCAUAUGUAGCAUAUUCGCUGUCGCAUUCUCGGGUUCUGCUGAGAAAUUGAAGGAUCUGCAGAUUCACGAGACUUGCUUGUGGACAGAAGCUUUUGUUGAUCUUCGUGAUUUUAUUAGUGGAGAGAUCAGGAGCAUAUAUUCUGGAGGAAGGUUCACAGUACUGAAGGAGCUUGAAGCAGUGGAUGUUGGUGUGAAGAAGUUAUACCCAGUCACACAGGAUGGAAUAGACCCUACCGACUCAGAACAGUUGGAACUUCUAACUUUAGAUCUGACUAAAAAAG